AUUGAACGCUGGCGGCAGGCCUAACACAUGCAAGUCGAGCGAGCGGCGGACGGGUGAGUAAUGUCUGGGAAACUGCCUGAUGGAGGGGGAUCACUCCUGGAAACGGUUGCUAAUACCGCAUACCAUCAGAUGUGCCCAGAUGGGAUUAGCUAGUAGGUGGGGUAUCGGCUCACCUAGGCGACGAGCCCUAGCUGGUCUGAGAGGAUGACCCGCCACGCGGGAACUGAGACGCGGUCCAGAAUCCUACGGGAGGCAGCAGUGGGGAAUAUUGCGCAAUGGGCGCAAGCCUGAUGCAGCCAUGCCGCGUGUAUGACGAAGGCCUUCGGGUUGUAAAGUACUUUCGGCGGGGAGGCGUUACCCGCAGAAGAAGCACCGGCUAACUCCGUGCCAGCAGCCGCGGUAAUUC
rnacentral:rRNA from 1 species